AAUAGAUACCCAGGUAGUCCACGCCGUAAACGGUGGGCACUAGGUGUGGGCGACAUUCCACGUCGUCCGUGCCGCAGCUAACGCAUUAAGUGCCCCGCCUGGGGAGUACGGCCGCAAGGCUAAAACUCAAAGGAAUUGACGGGGGCCCGCACAAGCGGCGGAGCAUGUGGCUUAAUUCGACGCAACGCGAAGAACCUUACCAAGGCUUGACAUACACCGGAAACGUCCAGAGAUGGGCGCCCCCUUGUGGUCGGUGUACAGGUGGUGCGUGGCUGUCGUCAGCUCGUGUCGUGAGAUGUUGGGUUAAGUCCCGCAACGAGCGCAACCCUUGUCCCGUGUUGCCAGCAGGCCCUUGUGGUGCUGGGGACUCACGGGAGACCGCCGGGGUCAACUCGGAGGAAGGUGGGGACGACGUCAAGUCAUCAUGCCCCUUAUGUCUUGGGCUGCACACGUGCUACAAUGGCCGGUACAAUGAGCUGCGAUACCGCGAGGUGGAGCGAAUCUCAAAAAGCCGGUCUCAGUUCGGAUUGGGGU
rnacentral:rRNA from 1 species